rnacentral:rRNA from 1 species
UACGUAGGGGGCAAGCGUUGUCCGGAUUUAUUGGGCGUAAAGAGCGUGUAGGCGGCUUGACAGGUCUGCUGUGAAAACUCGAGGCUCAACCUCGAGAUGUCGGCGGAAACCGUCUGGCUAGAGUCCGGAAGAGGAGAGUGGAAUUCCUAGUGUAGCGGUGAAAUGCGCAGAUAUCAGGAAGAACACCUAUGGCGAAGGCAGCUCUCUGGGACGGUACUGACGCUGAGACGCGAAAGCGUGGGGAGCGAACAGG